rnacentral:rRNA from 1 species
GCUCAUUACAACAGAUAUAAUUUACUUGUUCUAUUCCUUUAUACGGAUAACUGCGGUAAUUCUGGAGCCAAUACGUGCUAAAAGUAAAAUUCAGCAAUGAGUUUUAUGCACUUAUCGGAGCAAAACCUUUCCUGGUUUAAUGCUAACUCUGGAUAAUACUGCUUAUCGCACGACCUUGUGUCGGCGAARUUACAUUCAAGUAUCUGCCUUAUCAACUUUCGAUGGUAGUGUAUUGGACUGCCAUGGUGUUGACGGGUAACGGAGAAUCAGGGUUCGACUCCGGAGAGGGAGCCUUAGAAACGGCUACCAUGUCUAAGGACAGCAGCAGGCGCGCAACUUAUCCACUGUUCAUUGAACGAGAUAGUGACGAGAAAUAACAAGUCCGUUCUCUAUGAGGUCGGACAUUGGAAUGGAUGAAAUCUAAACAAUUUCAUGAGUACCCACGAGAGGGCAAGUCUGGUGCCAGCAGCCGCGGUAAUUCCAGCUCUCGUAAUGUAUAGAAUUAUUGUUGCGGUUAAAAAGUUCGUAGUUGGAUUUUCGACUAUGAAAGGUCAUCCUUAACAGGAUGUACUUUUUGUAGUGUUUGCAUCCAAUUUGUAAGCAAUUAUAAAUUGAAUGCGGAUUACUUUGAACGGCUUAAGUGCUCAAGGCGAGUCUUCGGACUGAAUACCGGUGCAUGGAAUAAUGGAACAAGGUUUCGGCCGAGUUUUAUUGGUUUUGUCGGCUAAAACAAUGGUUAACAGGAACAGCUGGGGGCACUCGUAUCGCUGCGCGAGAGGUGAAAUUC